UCCCUGGUGGUCGAGUGGUAAGGAUUUGGUGCUUUCACUAGUGUGGCCCAGGUUCAAUCCCUGGUCUGGGAA
rnacentral:tRNA from 1 species